GACGAACGCUGGCGGCGUGCCUAAUACAUGCAAGUCGAGCGCAGGAAAUCGACGGAACCCUUCGGGGGGAAGUCGACGGAAUGAGCGGCGGACGGGUGAGUAACACGUAAAGAACCUGCCCUCAGGUCUGGGAUAACCACGAGAAAUCGGGGCUAAUACCGGAUGGGUCAUCGGACCGCAUGGUCCGAGGAUGAAAGGCGCUUCGGCGUCGCCUGGGGAUGGCUUUGCGAUGCAUUAGCUAGUUGGUGGGGUAAUGGCUCACCAAGGCGACGAUGCAUAACCGACCUGCGAGGGUGAUCGGCCACACUGGGACUGAGACACGGCCCAGACUCCUACGGGAGGCAGCAGUAGGGAAUCUUCCACAAUGGACGAAAGUCUGAUGGAGCAACGCCGCGUGAACGAUGAAGGCCUUCGGGUCGUAAAGUUCUGUUGUAAGGGAAGAACAAGUGCCGCAGGCAAUGGCGGCACCUUGACGGUACCUUGCGAGAAAGCCACGGCUAACUACGUGCCAGCCGCCGCGGUAA
rnacentral:rRNA from 1 species